UACGUAGGGUGCGAGCGUUAAUCGGAAUUACUGGGCGUAAAGCGUGCGCAGGCGGUUCGUUGUGUCGGUGGUGAAAGCCCCGGGCUUAACCUGGGAAUGGCCAUGGAAACUGGCGAACUGGAGUGUGGCAGAGGGGGGUGGAAUUCCGCGUGUAGCAGUGAAAUGCGUAGAGAUGCGGAGGAACACCGAUGGCGAAGGCAGCCCCCCUGGGCUAGCACUGACGCUCAGGCACGAAAGCUAGGGGAGCAAACAGG
rnacentral:rRNA from 1 species